rnacentral:misc_RNA from 1 species
ACAAACUUGGUCAUUUAGAGGAAGUAAAAGUCGUAACAAGGUUUCCGUAGGUGAACCUGCGGAAGGAUCAUCACUGAUUCGGCGGGGGAGAGCGUGUGUGUGUGUUGUGCGUGUUCGCGCGCGCGCCACGCGCCACCCCAACCAAUCUUUUGUGCACGGUUUCACGGUCAACGAGAGACGCCGCGCGUGUGUGUUGGCAAGUCGCGUGUCCCCCCCUCCUCCUCCCCCCUCCCCGCAAUGUGGUGUGUGGGGGUGGUGUGUGGUGUGUGGUGUGUGAUGACUUGCCAACCGCAUGCGUCUGUGCGCGUUCUCUGCGCUUACACACAAUCUCUUGUGCAAUCUUUGUGUCUAACAUACGUUACCUAAAUAUAUUAACACCUACAACUUUCAACAAUGGAUCUCUUGGCUCUCGCAUCGAUGAAGAACGCAGC